AACGAACGCUGGCGGCGUGCCUAACACAUGCAAGUCGUGCGAGAAAGUUCCUUCGGGAAUGAGUAAAGCGGCGCACGGGUGAGUAACACGUAGGUAACCUACCCUCGAGCCCGGAAUAACCCGUCGAAAGAUGGGCUAAUGCCGGAUGAGACCACGGUGGUCAUGGCCACCGCGGUCAAAGAUGGCCUCUGUUCACAAGCUAUUACUCGGGGAUGGGCCUGCGCGCCAUUAGCUAGUUGGUGAGGUAACGGCUCACCAAGGCGAUGAUGGCUAGCUGGUCUGAGAGGAUGACCAGCCAACCUGGGACUGACACACGGCCCAGACUCCUACGGGAGGCAGCAGUGGGGGAUAUUGCGCAAUGGGCGAAAGCCUGACGUAGCGACGCCGCGUGGGGGAUGAAGGCCUUCGGGUCGUAAAGCCCUGUCGAGGGGGACGAAUCAGUUUGGUCCUAAUACGACCAGACCCUGACGGUACCCCUAAAGGAAGCACCGGCUAACUCCGUGCCAGCCGCCGCGGUAAGAC
rnacentral:rRNA from 1 species